rnacentral:tRNA from 1 species
GCAAUGGUGUUUUGGUAGUAGAAUUCUCGCCUUCCAUGCGGGAGACCCGGGUUCGAUUCCCAGCCAGUGUA